GAUGAACGCUGGCGGCGUGCCUAAUACAUGCAAGUCGAGCGAACAGAUGAGGAGCUUGCUCCUCUGACGUUAGCGGCCGACGGGUGAGUAACACGUGGAUAACCUACCUAUAAGACUGGGAUAACUUCGGGAAACCGGAGCUAAUACCGGAUAAUAUAUUGAACCGCAUGGUUCAAUAGUGAAAGACGGUUUUGCUGUCACUUAUAGAUGGAUCCGCGCCGCAUUAGCUAGUUGGUAAGGUAACGGCUUACCAAGGCAACGAUGCGUAGCCGACCUGAGAGGGUGAUCGGCCACACUGGAACUGAGACACGGUCCAGACUACUACGGGAGGCAGCAGUAGGGAAUCUUCCGCAAUGGGCGAAAGCUUGACGGAGCAACGCCGCGUGAGUGAUGAAGGUCUUCGGAUCGUAAAACUCUGUUAUUAGGGAAGAACAAAUGUGUAAGUAACUAUGCACGUCUUGACGGUACCUAAUCAGAAAGCCACGGCUAACUACGUG
rnacentral:rRNA from 1 species